AUUGAACGCUGGCGGCAGGCCUAACACAUGCAAGUCGAUCGGUAACAGGAAGAAGCUUGCUUCUUUGCUGACGAGUGGCGGACGGGUGAGUAAUGUCUGGGAAACUGCCUGAUGGAGGGGGAUAACUACUGGAAACGGUAGCUAAUACCGCAUAACGUCGCAAGGCCAAAGAGGGGGACCUUCGGGCCUCUUGCCAUCGGAUGUGCCCAGAUGGGAUUAGCUAGUAGGUGGGGUAACGGCUCACCUAGGCGACGAUCCCUAGCUGGUCUGAGAGGAUGACCAGCCACACUGGAACUGAGACACGGUCCAGACUCCUACGGGAGGCAGCAGUGGGGAAUAUUGCACAAUGGGCGCAAGCCUGAUGCAGCCAUGCCGCGUGUAUGAAGAAGGCCUUCGGGUUGUAAAGUACUUUCAGCGGGGAGGAAGGGAGUAAAGUUAAUACCUUUGCUCAUUGACGUUACCCGCAGAAGAAGCACCGGCUAACUCCGUG
rnacentral:rRNA from 1 species